rnacentral:rRNA from 1 species
AUUGAACGCUGGCGGCAGGCUUAACACAUGCAAGUCGAGCGGAGAGAGGUAGCUUGCUACUGAUCUUAGCGGCGGACGGGUGAGUAAUGCUUAGGAAUCUGCCUAUUAGUGGGGGACAACAUUUCGAAAGGAAUGCUAAUACCGCAUACGUCCUACGGGAGAAAGCAGGGGAUCUUCGGACCUUGCGCUAAUAGAUGAGCCUAAGUCGGAUUAGCUAGUUGGUGGGGUAAAGGCCUACCAAGGCGACGAUCUGUAGCGGGUCUGAGAGGAUGAUCCGCCACACUGGGACUGAGACACGGCCCAGACUCCUACGGGAGGCAGCAGUGGGGAAUAUUGGACAAUGGGCGGAAGCCUGAUCCAGCCAUGCCGAGUGUGUGAAGAAGGCCUUAUGGUUGUAAAGCACUUUAAGCGAGGAGGAGGCUACUUUAGUUAAUACCUAGAGAUAGUGGACGUUACUCGCAGAAUAAGCACCGGCUAACUCUGUGCCAGCAGCCGCCGUAAAAC